ACUCCUACGGGAGGCAGCAGUGGGGGAUAUUGCACAAUGGAGGAAACUCUGAUGCAGCAACGCCGCGUGAAGGAUGAAGGUCUUCGGAUUGUAAACUUUUGUACUUGGGGACGAUAAUGACGGUACCCAAGCAGCAAGCUCCGGCUAACUACGUGCCAGCAGCCGCGGUAAUACGUAGGGAGCAAGCGUUGUCCGGAUUUACUGGGCGUAAAGGAUGUGUAGGCGGAUAUUUAAGUGAGAUGUGAAAUCCCCGGGCUUAACUUGGGGGCUGCAUUUCAAACUGGAUGUCUAGAGUGCAGGAGAGGAAGGCAGAAUUCCUAGUGUAGCGGUGAAAUGCGUAGAGAUUAGGAAGAAUACCAGUGGCGAAGGCGGCUUUCUGGACUGUAACUGACGCUGAGGCAUGAAAGCGUGGGGAGCAAACAGGAUUAGAUACCCUGGUAGUCA
rnacentral:rRNA from 1 species